CCUACGGGGGGCAGCAGUGGGGGAUAUUGCACAAUGGGGGGAACCCUGAUGCAGCGACGCCGCGUGGGUGAAGACUCGCCUCGGCGCGUAAAGCCCUGUCAGCAGGGAAGUAAAUGACGGUACCUGAAGAAGAAGCUCCGGCUAAAUACGUGCCGGCAGCCGCGGGAAUGCGUAGGGGGCAAGCGUUAUCCGGAUUUACUGGGUGUAAAGGGGGCGCAGUUGGGGAUGCAAGCCAGGAGUGAAAGCCCGGGGCCCAACCCCGGGACUGCUCUUGGAACUGCGGGGCUGGAGUGCAGGAGGGGCAGGCGGAAUUCGUGGUGUAGCGGUGAAAUGCGUAGAUAUCAGGAGGAACACCGGUGGCGAAGGCGGCCUGCUGGACUGCAACUGACGUUGAGGCCCGAAAGCGUGGGGAGCAAACAGGAUUAGAUACCCCUGUAGUC
rnacentral:rRNA from 1 species